rnacentral:rRNA from 1 species
AUUGAACGCUGGCGGCAGGCCUAACACAUGCAAGUCGAACGAGUGGCGGACGGGUGAGUAAUGUCUCGGAAACUGCCUGAUGGAGGGGGAUAACUACUGGAAACGGUAGCUAAUACCGCAUACCAUCGAAUGUGCCCAGAUGGGAUUAUCUAGUAGGUGGGGUAAAGGCUCAACUAGGCGACGAUCCCUAGCUGGUCUGAGAGGAGGACCAGCCACACUGGAACUGAGACACGGGCCAGACUCCUACGGUAGGCAGCAGUGGGGAAUAUUGCACAAUGGGCGCAAGCCUGAUGCAGGCAGGCCGCGUGUAUGAAGAAGGCCUUAGGGUUGUAAAGUACUUUCAGCGUGGAGGCGUUACCCGCAGAAGAAGCACCGGCUAACUCCGUGCCAGCAGCCGCGGUAAUAC